GGGAGAUGGGGCACACAGUGACACUAACAACACAGGGAACCCAAAACAGAGUGCAGCAAAGAGGCCUCGUCUGUCUAUUGCAGAAGAGGAGGAGGAGACAAAACCACUCUUGUUGUCUGAUAUGUUCAGCGAGAUUCUGGGAGAGAAUAUCACUGAAACUAGGUAAGCUACUUUGUUCUGACUUUGUUAUUAUUACUGUUUGCUACUGAAUGUGUCUGUGAUAUUUAUUAAUAUUUAGUACUGUAUGUGCUAUGGAAUAUGCCCUUUAUUUUGUACUUGUACAUUUUUGACCUGUCAAAUGCUUUAUUGAUUUAGUCAAACUAAUAAUGUUAAUAUACAUGAUGCAAUGUCCCCAUCUUAAAUUAAAUCUCAAAUCCUUCUCUCAAACCUCUAAAAUGGCAGGCCGGUGACGAGCUCAACAGUUGGAUGACUACCUCUCAGAGGCCCCCAUCCCAAUUAUCCAACGAGGCAAGCAUCCUAAAAAAAAAGAAGACAGGGAGAAGAAGGAGACCCCUCUUGGAUACUGGAGAAAUAAAAGAGAGCACUCUCCUGACCUGGCCAAGGUGGCACGCAAGUAUUUGAGUGCUCCAUGCACUAGCACUGACUCAGAGAGACUGUUCAGUGCUGCAUCUCAUGUGCUGGAUGAGAAGAGGAACAGACUUGCCUGCCAUAAAGCAGAGAAGCUGUUGUUUGUUAAAAA